rnacentral:rRNA from 1 species
UACGAAGGGGGCUAGCGUUGCUCGGAAUCACUGGGCGUAAAGGGUGCGUAGGCGGGUCUUUAAGUCAGGGGUGAAAUCCUGGAGCUCAACUCCAGAACUGCCUUUGAUACUGAAGAUCUUGAGUUCGGGAGAGGUGAGUGGAACUGCGAGUGUAGAGGUGAAAUUCGUAGAUAUUCGCAAGAACACCAGUGGCGAAGGCGGCUCACUGGCCCGAUACUGACGCUGAGGCACGAAAGCGUGGG